CAAAUGCCUUGGCAAAAUCCAAAUAGAUCACAUUCACUGAUCUAUACUUCUAAUUACUUCUUCGUAGUAUGCAAUCAAGUUAGUUUGACAUGACCUGUGCUUCAUAAAACCAUGGUGAUUUUUGCUGAUAACCAAGUUCUUCUCAAGGAAUUCUUAAAUAUUAUCACUUAUUAACUUUUAAAUACUUUUCCAGCCACAUAAGUUAAGCUCACAGGUCUAUAAUUUCCAGGCGAGGAUUUUGAACCCUUUUUGAAUAUAGGAACCACAUCUGCCUUCCUCCAAUCCUUCCUGAAAGAAAAGAAUCUUGAAAGAUUAAAAACAGAGGUUCACUUUUUUCUACACUUAGUUCCUUAAGUACUCGUGGAUGAAUACUGUCAGGCCCUGAAGCUUAGUUUAUAUUAACUUUAUUUAGUUGCUGCAGCACUUUGUCUAGAGAUAGCCAAUUACUAUUUUUCUGCAACUAUUGCCAUAUAGUGUUUCUUUAACUAUUUGUACAGAUGUAAUGAAUGGGUUAGCUGGGCUUUUUGGUGUGAGUGGUGAUGAAUGUGAUUUAAGAAGCUGAAGCAAACCUACAUCACAUUCAUUUUUUGCAAUGAAUGAUUUCUAUUGAGAUUUUCAAAACAAUAAGAAAUUACAGACAGGUCAAUCAACGCAUCUCCUGUACAGCUAUUCAUGUAAAAUGUUCACUACCCGGAACAGAG